CCUACGGGCGGCUGCAGUGGGGAAUAUUGGUAAUCUGGGAAACCGGGAACCAGCAACGCCGCGUGCGCGAUGACGGCCUUCGGGUUGUAAAGCGCUUUUUAAAGGGAUGAGGAAGGACAGUACCUUUAGAAUAAGCCUCGGCUAACUACGUGCCAGCAGCCGCGGUAAAACGUAGGAGGCGAGCGUUAUCCGGAUUUACUGGGCGUAAAGCGUGUGUAGGCGGUUUGAUAAGUUGGAUGUGAAAGCUCCCGGCUUAACUGGGAGAGGUCGUUCAAAACUGUCAGACUUGAGAGUGGUAGAGGGAGAUGGAAUUCCGCGUGUAGUGGUGAAAUGCGUAGAUAUGCGGAGGAACACCAGUGGCGAAAGCGGUCUCCUGGCCCACUUCUGACGCUCAGACACGAAAGCUAGGGUAGCAAACGGGCUUAGAUACCCCGGUAGUC
rnacentral:rRNA from 1 species